rnacentral:tRNA from 1 species
AGCUCAGAGGGUAAAGCGUCUGCCUGCAAUGCGGGAGACCCUGGUUCGAUUCCUGG